ACUGACUUUUUUGAACUCCAGCCCACAAGUGACUUCAACCGUUACUGUCAUGCAUCUGACUGCAUGUGUAAGCUGUAGAAACUCUACCGUUAUCAUAUCCAAGUCGGUGUGUUGUGAGGACUGCUGCCCUGAGAACGCUGAGUGCAUUCUGGAAUAUUCCAAAUGUGUGCCACUUCCAUACUGAAGAAGUUCUAAGCCCGCAAGAGAGUUCACUCACCAGUGGGCUCCAUCAACUAUCCAGGGCAAUGUCAGUCCGUCUGGAUGGCACUACCUGCUACUUGAUGAUGUCUAAAAAGCCAUGGCUGCUGCCUUCAAAAUGGUAGCCCUCACAAGUAAACUGAUAUCAAGACUUACAUAGAUGGUGAUGGUGGUGAGGGUGCCUUCAGAAGGUGCUAUCCAGCAGUCCCAGCCUGGAGCCAGAAGCUGCUAUUGCAAGUCAGAUGGGGGAGGAAAGGUGGUGUAGGCAAGAAGGCAAGAGCUGCUGCAGGCAAUGUUGCAAUUAGGUAUGAUAUCACACAGACAUACUGCUGCUUAGACGUGUUGGGUCACUUUAAAAAAAGGUCCUCUUUAUCAAAAGAAAUGCACCGGACAUUUCUAAGUGUACCCCAAACUUUAUAAUGUUGGUGUAUACACAUCUGCUUUACUUCUAACUAUUGGCUCCCUAUAGUAGCCAGAAUUAAAUUUAAAUCUCUCAC